rnacentral:tRNA from 1 species
GCAGAAAUAGUAUAACGGUUAUUACGCCACCUUGCCAAGGUGGAUAUGGCAGUUCGAUUCUGCUUUUCUGCU